GGUAGGGUAGCUUAGUUAAGCGGUGGAUUGUAGCUCCACAGACGGAGGAUAAAACCCUCCCUCUGCCA
rnacentral:tRNA from 1 species